UAGAACUGGUAGCCUCCCCAUGCCUCACUGCACUAUAAAUACCACUUGUUUUCUUAAAUUUGUUGAACCACCCCUACUAGCCUUAAAUGAAUCACUUUCAGCACUUGGUCCAAGGAGGUCUUUCAGGAGCCAGGCCUGUGCUGGUGUUCUGGAGGUUCAAAGCCAUUCAAGCAACAUUUAUUGGCUCCUGCUGUCAAGAAGCUUGUGAUUUCUUGGGGAGAAAAUACUCACAUAUCAUACCAAGGUUGCGGAAAGAGAAAUGGCCCUUGGAGUCCAAAGAAGAAAGAGAGAAGA